rnacentral:rRNA from 1 species
UGGGGAAUAUUGCGCAAUGGGCGGAAGCCUGACGCAGCGACGCCGCGUGGGGGAUGACGGCCUUCGGGUUGUAAACCUCUUUCAGCAGGGACGAAGCGCAAGUGACGGUACCUGCAGAAGAAGCUCCGGCUAACUACGUGCCAGCAGCCGCGGUAAGACGUAGGGAGCGAGCGUUGUCCGGAUUUAUUGGGCGUAAAGAGCUCGUAGGUGGCUUGUCACGUCGGUUGUGAAAACCUGCAGCUUAACUGUGGGCUUGCUGCCGAUACGGGUAGGCUAGAGGCAGGUAGGGGAGAGUGGAAUUCCUGGUGUAGCGGUGAAAUGCGCAGAUAUCAGGAGGAACACCGGUGGCGAAGGCGGCUCUCUGGACCUGUUCUGACGCUGAGGAGCGAAAGCGUGGGGAGCGAACAGGAUUAGAUACCCCCGUAGUCC